CAAAACUAAGCCAAACCACUGCACUAAAAAUUACAUUGCCUUAAAUCAAAUGCCUUUUUUUUUUUUUUCUUUUUCUUUUUUUUCUAAUAACUGCAGUAAGAAGGUUUGUUUAGGGAGGGCUGUCUCUAGCCACAGGAAAAGCAAGCAGUUCCCAUAGGGUACCAUACAGCUGGGAGGAGCAGUGUAACAACUGUUCCAGCACCUACUUCACCUCAUCUCUGCAAGGACAGCUGUGUUGACAACUCCUCCUACCCUACUGAGUUUUUUUUUUUUUUUUUUUUUUUUUUUUUUUUUUUUUUAAAAAAAAAGGAGCUGGAAUAUAUAUGCAGCAGCCACCUGGAGAAAGAAGAAAGGGCGGCUCAUAUCAGUGCUUCCCCUUUCCUCUUCCCAUGGCAGCAUGGCUUCCCUGUCCUGGCUUUCAUCCUCAGAACAGGAAAUCUCAACUUUGCCCACACUUCUUGAGAUGGUUUAAGACAGCUUUAUAUAUGAACACCUGAAAACAAGACAGCUUGAGAACCAUGAUUUACUUCAUUUUGAAGUUAAUUUAAAUUCUCUAGGUAUUUUGUAUCUGAAAGGCAAAAUUCUUCUGCCCUUUACAUAAGAAAUUACACAUCAAGAAAUGAAAUCAAGUUUUUCUACAUUUCGGGACACACCUUAUCCUUCAGGAUGUCACGUGAGGGACAGUGAAGUCUCACUGCUAUAGACAGCUACUUGGGUUCUCAUUUUAAGAGUUCCCUGAGUAGAAGCACUUCAUCUCUCUGAAGAAUUCCUGAUAGCUCAUCUCCAGUUCUCCCAACAGUCCUGGUAGAAAACCAGCACAGUAUUAAACUCGGAGCAGAGCUGAAUUUCUACAGGAGCUGAAGAGGCAGAAAGCUUGCUUAAAUGUUUUGAAGUCACAACCUAUGUUCUUUCUAUUAAGAAUUUUAUCUCAAAUCUUCUAUAGCAAGCAGCUGUAUGAAACGGCUGACCAAGGAGAGUCACAGACCUGGGAACUUCUAUGAGUUGUCUCAUCCUUAAAGACUGGAAAUGAAAUGCCUCUUACAUACACUUCUGCACAAUGAAAUGCUGAAGUUUGCCUAUCCCAAGCGUACUACAGGGGUUACCAUCUUCCUAAAAGGAAGUAUGCUUAACCAAGGGAAGCCUCCAGCUCUGUUAUGCCUCUUCACGCUCAGCACCAAUAUCUUCUUAUAGCUUCAGAAGAAAAAGUUAAGAGAGGAAACCUGGUUUACUAUUUCACAUCUAAAAAAAAUCUUGUUCAAUCCCUCACUGCAGAUAAAAUUUUCAUAUGAAAGAAAUAUUAAGCUGGCCAAUUAAAAGACUGGACCAGUGUUAAAUAGCACCAACAGAAAAUCUCAAAUACCAUGAAACCUUACGUAUUGCUGUCCCAAAAGCUAUAAAAGCUUAUUUAAAAACUACACAUCACCAUCUCAAAACAACAGGACAAGAUCCUACAUAUAUAAAAUACAAAAAAUACUUAUUUUGAUGAAAAGAUGGACUGAAGUCGUUUAAACUUUUGUUAGCGUGAAGAAUUCAGCCUGAAGAUAAACCUGUUCUGAUAUCUCAAGAAGAAAAAAGAGGCUUGGAAUGACUACUUGAGCAUUCAACUUCCUUGGAACAUACCAUUAAUGCAUAAUUAUCACUGAAUGCAUUGAUCUUGAUUUGAAGUUAGUAACUUUUCAGUGAAACCAAGUUACAAUGAUCUACAUUCAAAAGGGUUUUAUUACACGUUCAAUUCCCCUAGGACACCUAGAAGAACUGUGGUACAAGUAUGUCUUAGAAAAUCUCUCUCUUAAGAGCCUCUAUAUUAUAGCAGUUAAUAAAACCGUCUAGAUUAUAAUCUUCCUUCCUAUCUUUUCACCUAUUCCUAUAUGAGGUCAAAAAAGUGAGUGACAGCGAUAAACUGAAAUUCUCUUUCUUGAAGAGGUAUUCUUUCCUCACUGUCACAGGCAUUCUUCAAGUCCUCACCCCCCGGUUUAAAGCUGAAUCAGAACACAAGCAGACAGAAUCACGCUUCAUAUUCGUCUGUCCUGCCAACUCAUUCUCACCAAAUUCUGUCCUCCCACAGCCAGAAUAUGUUUCACAGCUUGAUUCAGUCCAUUUAAUCUUCCUCCUUCAAACAUCCAAACUUCUUAUCUAACUUACACUCUCUGACUGUAUAAUCGUUAAAGCUUUUCUAUUACAAUCAAUAGCAAUACCAAACAUUUUUUUAAAAAAGAUAUGGCUAUCAUGUAGACUGGGAUUCUCAAAGGGGGCAGAUAUUGAAUUUCUAUUUGAAACUGUUGGAAUUUCCAACAAGAGCUGGGUUUCUAUCCAGUUUCCAGGCCUCUGAAUAUCUCAGGUCUACUAUGCUAAAGAGAAUACAAACUACUCCCCCAUUUUUCAAAACUUGCUUUCUCUGUGGUUCCCAUUUUCAUUGUUCCCUGAAAUCUUUGCUGUUAAGGAGUGUAUUAAAUACACACAACAAUACUUCUAAUGUGACUCUUCAUCUACAGUAAUUGUCAAUGGACUUUAACCCUCAGGUUUCAAGUACACCAAACAUCCACUGACUUUUUUCACUUCAAGGCUCAGUGCAUAGUUUCCUUAAUUCCAGGGCUUGCUUACAAUGAAAUACUAGCUUUUAGUAUAGAAGUCGACAAAGCUUCAACUUCUUGAACCAAGAAGGUCAAAAUUUGCAUUAUUUUCCUGCAGCUGUGUGUGCUGUUCCAGCUGGUUCAUACUUAAGAGCUAUUUUAAAAAGCCUGUAAAAUAAAACAACCAUACAUACACUAUUCUAUUGAAAGUUGAUCAGAAUUCUCACUUUUCUAUUAUAAAAUUCUUCUGAAUAAAGUUGCAAAUUUUUUUCUUUCUCUGAAAUAUUUAUUCAAUUUAAACAAAUAAAUAUUGCUUUUGUAAGUAGGUAAAGGACAGGACAUCGCAAUUCACUUUUUAAAGCACAUUACACAUUCAACAUUUGUCAGUUAAAAUAAAAACUUGAACUACCUUCAUACUUUCUGUUGUACACCCUAAGUCAGAGGCUCCCUCUUAAAAAGCACUGUGCUUCAUUUUUCUCUUCAAAAAGAUCCUGUUUUUAGAAUUGUUUAAAUAGCAUUUUUCUCCACCAGUUCUUUUUUAUUUAUUUCACAUGGCUCUAGAGGCAGUAUUUCUACAAUCCUGCAUCUUGCAUAUGGUAUCAGCUAUGGCAUUAAUCACUAUUCCAUAUUUCAGAGUUAAAAAGUAUUAAAAAAGAGAAAGCACUAUAAACCCCUCAGGAAAUCAUGAUAUUAGCAUCGUCUUUUCUCAGUUUAAAC
ensembl:lncRNA